rnacentral:rRNA from 1 species
AACGAACGCUGGCGGCAGGCUUAACACAUGCAAGUCGAACGCAUCCUUCGGGGUGAGUGGCAGUCGGGUGAGUAACGCGUGGGAACGUGCCCUGCAGUUCGGGAUAACCCAGGGAAACUUGGGCUAAUACCGGAUACGUGCGAGAGCAGAAAGAUUUAUCGCUGAAGGAUCGGCCCGCGUCUGAUUAGCUAGUUGGUGGGGUAAUGGCUCACCAAGGCGACGAUCAGUAGCUGGUCUGAGAGGAUGAACGGCUACAUUGGGACUGAGAGACGGACCAAUCUCGUACGGUGGGCAGCAGUGGGGAGUAUUGAACAAUGAGCGCAAGCCUAAUCCAGCCAUGCCGGGUGAUUGAUGAAGGCCUUAGGAUUGAAAAGCUCUUUUGUCCGGGACGAUAAUGCCGGUACCGGAAGAAGAAGCCCCGGCUAACUUCGUGCCAGCCGCCGCGGUAA